AUUGAACGCUGGCGGCAGGCCUAACACAUGCAAGUCGAGCGGAAAACGAGUUUAUCUGAACCUUCGGGGAACCGAUAACGGCGUCGAGCGGCGGACGGGUGAGUAAUGCCUAGGAAAUUGCCCUGAUGUGGGGGAUAACCAUUGGAAACCGAGUGGCUAAUUACCGCAUAAUUGCCUACGGGCCAAAGAGGGGGACCUUACGGGCCUCUCGCGGUCAGGAUAUGCCUAGGUGGGAUUAGCUAGUUGGUGAGGUAAUGGCUCACCAAGGCGACGAUCCCUAGCUGGUCUGAGAGGAUGAUCAGCCACACUGGAACUGAGACACGGGUCCAGACUCCUACGGGAGGCAGCAGUGGGGAAUA
rnacentral:rRNA from 1 species